CGCGCCGAAAAGAGAGCGGCAGACGGGUGAGUAACACGUGGGGAUCUGCCCAAUGGUACGGAAUAACUCAGGGAAACUUGUGCUAAUACCGUAUGUGCCCUUCGGGGGAAAGAUUUAUCGCCAUUGGAUGAACCCGCGUCAGAUUAGCUAGUUGGUGGGGUAAGAGCCCACCAAGGCGACGAUCCAUAGCUGGUCUGAGAGGAUGAUCAGCCACAUUGGGACUGAGACACGGCCCAAACUCCUACGGGAGCCAGCAGUGGGGAAUAUUGGACAAUGGGCGCAAGCCUGAUCCAGCCAUGCCGCGUGAGUGAUGAAGGCCCUAGGGUUGUAAAGCUCUUUCACCGGUGAAGAUAAUGACGGUAACCGGAGGAGAAGCCCCGGCUAACUUCGUGCCAGCAGCCGCGGUAAUACGAAGGGGGCUAGCGUUGUUCGGAAUUACUGGGCGUAAAGCGCACGUAGGCGGAUAUUUAAGUCAGGGGUGAAAUCCCAGAGCUCAACUCUGGAACUGCCUUUGAUACUGGGUAUCUAGAGUAUGGAAGAGGUGAGUGGAAUUCCGAGUGUAGAGGUGAAAUUCGUAGAUAUUCGGCGGAACACCAGUGGCGAAGGCGACUCACUGGCCCGAUACUGACGCUGAGGCGCGAAAGCGUGGGGAGCAAACAGGAUUAGAUACCCUGGUAGUCCACGCUGUAAACGAUGAGUGCUAGUUGUCGGCAUGCAUGCAUGUCGGUGACGCAGCUAACGCAUUAAGCACUCCGCCUGGGGAGUACGGUC
rnacentral:rRNA from 1 species